rnacentral:rRNA from 1 species
GAAGGGCCAUCGCUCAACGGAUAAAAGGUACUCCGGGGAUAACAGGCUGAUACCGCCCAAGAGUUCAUAUCGACGGCGGUGUUUGGCACCUCGAUGUCGGCUCAUCACAUCCUGGGGCUGAAGUAGGUCCCAAGGGUAUGGCUGUUCGCCAUUUAAAGUGGUACGCGAGCUGGGUUUAGAACGUCGUGAGACAGUUCGGUCCCUAUCUGCCGUGGGCGCUGGAGAAUUGAGGGGGGCUGCUCCUAGUACGAGAGGACCGGAGUGGACGCAUCACUGGUGUUCGGGUUGUCAUGCCAAUGGCACUGCCCGGUAGCUAAAUGCGGAAGAGAUAAGUGCUGAAAGCAUCUAAGCACGAAACUUGCCCCGAGAUGAGUUCUCCCUGACUCCUUGAGAGUCCUGAAGGAACGUUGAAGACGACGACGUUGAUAGGCCGGGUGUGUAAGCGCAGCGAUGCGUUGAGCUAACCGGUACUAAUGAACCGUGAGGCUUAACCUUACAACGCCGAAG